AGGACUACAGGUUUUUUGGUCAAGAGAAAGUCUUUAGCCAUCUCAUCAAAGAUCUUAAAGACAUUGAGAACAAUGAAUACAUGGCUUGAAGAAGUUAAAGAUAUAAUUCUUAGAGCAUUGCCCACUAUGUCAUCAGACAUUCUGGAACAGAUCAUUUCCAACCUUCAAAGCUGUGGACUACAAUGCAAAGAUGAUCUCAAAUACGUUCAGCAAGAAGACCUUAACAAUAUGUUACCUGUAAUUCAAGUCAGAAAGCUUCUUCAAAUGUUUAAAUCAGAAACGGAGAUGGUUAUUCUGGAUUUAGAAGUGGUGCCUGAUCCAUCAGCAUGUUCCUCAUCAGUUACUCUGGAUUUAGAAGCGGUGCCUGGUCCAUCAGCAUGUUCCUC